rnacentral:lncRNA from 1 species
CCUUGUUCAAAAACGCGGGCGAACUGCCGCUUAAUCGUCCGGAAAAACGCUCCACGGACCCUCACCGUGGCGAAUUGCACCGGUGCGGUGACAUUAUGCGGCCAGCCGCGUAUUGACCGCGUGGACCGUGGUUUAAGAAACUCGGCCGUGUUAUAGCGUAUGUUUUUGUGCGGUUAUGAGGUUUAAAAAUUGAAAAUCUCCAGUUUAUCCAGUUUUUAUAACUAUAAGAUUCUAAAACUUGAUUUUGGGUUAUAAAACGAUCAAAUCUAUCUGUAAUCUACAAGAAAACAAGAUAAAUCGACAAAAAUGGUGAAAAAAAAAAAAAUCAGAGGCGGCUGCUUAGAUUUGCAGAAGAAAGAGGAAGGAGAUGAGGACAGAAACGUAAUUUGAUACUCAUUAAACCUAAUACAAAAACGUCGAUAUAUUGGGUAAAAUGGAGCCUCGAACCUGGGUGGGGACGUAAUGCUGCACGAGAACAUGAUAUCUAAACCACUAGACCAAAUUACUUUCUC